UUUCCGUAGGUGAACCUGCGGAAGGAUCAUUCAUCAUAAGUGCUUAAAAGCACUUUUGUACAUGUAUAUACACCAUGUGUGCUAUGUGAGGGGUUCUUUUUCUCUCUAGAGGAUCAGCCCCGAACAUGAACUAUCUCUCAACUCUGCUUAUCAAAAACCUUAUGAAUAAAACAAUUUAUAAUACAACUUCCUACAACGGACCUCUUGUUUCUCGCAUCGAUGUAGAUUGCAGCAGAUCGUAAUUCAUCACGAAUCACCUCCAGUAACGCAUACUUAAAC
rnacentral:misc_RNA from 1 species